rnacentral:rRNA from 1 species
GACGAACGCUGGCGGCGUGCCUAAUACAUGCAAGUAGAACGCUGAAGAGAGGAGCUUGCUCUUCUUGGAUGAGUUGCGAACGGGUGAGUAACGCGUAGGUAACCUGCCUUGUAGCGGGGGAUAACUAUUGGAAACGAUAGCUAAUACCGCAUAACAAUGGAUGACCCAUGUCAUUUAUUUGAAAGGGGCAAAUGCUCCACUACAAGAUGGACCUGCGUUGUAUUAGCUAGUAGGUGAGGUAACGGCUCACCUAGGCGACGAUACAUAGCCGACCUGAGAGGGUGAUCGGCCACACUGGGACUGAGACACGGCCCAGACUCCUACGGGAGGCAGCAGUAGGGAAUCUUCGGCAAUGGGGGCAACCCUGACCGAGCAACGCCGCGUGAGUGAAGAAGGUUUUCGGAUCGUAAAGCUCUGUUGUAAGUCAAGAACGAGUGUGAGAGUGGAAAGUUCACACUGUGACGGUAGCUUACCAGAAAGGGACGGCUAACUACGUGCCAGCAGCCGCGGUAAUACGUAGGUCCCGAGCGUUGUCCGGAUUUAUUGGGCGUAAAGCGAGCGCAGGCGGUUUGAUAAGUCUGAAGUUAAAGGCUGUGGCUCAACCAUAGUUCGCUUUGGAAACUGUCAAACUUGAGUGCAGAAGGGGAGAGUGGAAUUCCAUGUGUAGCGGUGAAAUGCGUAGAUAUAUGGAGGAACACCGGUGGCGAAAGCGGCUCUCUGGUCUGUAACUGACGCUGAGGCUCGAAAGCGUGGGGAGCGAACAGGAUUAGAUACCCUGGUAGUCCACGCCGUAAACGAUGAGUGCUAGGUGUUGGAUCCUUUCCGGGAUUCAGUGCCGCAGCUAACGCAUUAAGCACUCCGCCUGGGGAGUACGACCGCAAGGUUGAAACUCAAAGGAAUUGACGGGGGCCCGCACAAGCGGUGGAGCAUGUGGUUUAAUUCGAAGCAACGCGAAGAACCUUACCAGGUCUUGACAUCCCGAUGCUAUUUCUAGAGAUAGAAAGUUACUUCGGUACAUCGGUGACAGGUGGUGCAUGGUUGUCGUCAGCUCGUGUCGUGAGAUGUUGGGUUAAGUCCCGCAACGAGCGCAACCCCUAUUGUUAGUUGCCAUCAUUCAGUUGGGCACUCUAGCGAGACUGCCGGUAAUAAACCGGAGGAAGGUGGGGAUGACGUCAAAUCAUCAUGCCCCUUAUGACCUGGGCUACACACGUGCUACAAUGGUUGGUACAACGAGUUGCGAGUCGGUGACGGCAAGCUAAUCUCUUAAAGCCAAUCUCAGUUCGGAUUGUAGGCUGCAACUCGCCUACAUGAAGUCGGAAUCGCUAGUAAUCGCGGACCAGCACGCCGCGGUGAAUACGUUCCCGGGCCU